CACCUUACCUUAGAGUGGACUCCUACGGGAGGCAGCAGUGGGGAAUAUUGCACAAUGGGCGCAAGCCUGAUGCAGCGACGCCGCGUGAGGGAUGGAGGCCUUCGGGUUGUAAACCUCUUUUAUCGGGGAGCAAGCGAGAGUGAGUUUACCCGUUGAAUAAGCACCGGCUAACUACGUGCCAGCAGCCGCGGUAAUACGUAGGGUGCAAGCGUUAUCCGGAAUUAUUGGGCGUAAAGGGCUCGUAGGCGGUUCGUCGCGUCCGGUGUGAAAGUCCAUCGCUUAACGGUGGAUCCGCGCCGGGUACGGGCGGGCUUGAGUGCGGUAGGGGAGACUGGAAUUCCCGGUGUAACGGUGGAAUGUGUAGAUAUCGGGAAGAACACCAAUGGCGAAGGCAGGUCUCUGGGCCGUUACUGACGCUGAGGAGCGAAAGCGUGGGGAGCGAACAGGAUUAGAUACCCUGGUAGUCCACGCCGUAAACGGUGGAUGCUGGAUGUGGGGACCAUUCCACGGUCUCCGUGUCGGAGCCAACGCGUUAAGCAUCCCGCCUGGGGAGUACGGCCGCAAGGCUAAAACUCAAAGAAAUUGACGGGGGCCCGCACAAGCGGCGGAGCAUGCGGAUUAAUUCGAUGCAACGCGAAGAACCUUACCUGGGCUUGACAUGUUCCCGACAGCCGUAGAGAUACGGUCUCCCUUCGGGGCGGGUUCACAGGUGGUGCAUGGUCGUCGUCAGCUCGUGUCGUGAGAUGUUGGGUUAAGUCCCGCAACGAGCGCAACCCUCGCCCUGUGUUGCCAGCACGUCAUGGUGGGAACUCACGGGGGACCGCCGGGGUCAACUCGGAGGAAGGUGGGGAUGACGUCAGAUCAUCAUGCCCCUUACGUCCAGGGCUUCACGCAUGCUACAAUGGCCGGUACAACGGGAUGCGACCUCGUGAGGGGGAGCGGAUCCCUUAAAACCGGUCUCAGUUCGGAUUGGAGUCUGCAACCCGACUCCAUGAAGGCGGAGUCGCUAGUAAUCGCGGAUCAGCAACGCCGCGGUGAAUGCGUUCCCGGGCCUUGUACACACCGCCCGUCAAGUCAUGAAAGUGGGCAGCACCCGAAGCCGGUGGCCUAACCCCUUGUGGGAUGGAGCCGUCUAAGGUGAGGCUCGUGAUUGGGACUAAGUCGUAACAAGGUAGCCGUACCGGAAGGUGCGGCUG
rnacentral:rRNA from 1 species